GGUUAAGCGACUAAGCGUACACGGUGGAUGCCCUGGCAGUCAGAGGCGAUGAAGGACGUGCUAAUCUGCGAAAAGCGUCGGUAAGGUGAUAUGAACCGUUACAGCCGGCGAUGUCCGAAUGGGGAAACCCAGUGCAAUUCGUUGCACUAUCGUUAACUGAAUACAUAGGUUAACGAGGCGAACCGGGGGAACUGAAACAUCUAAGUACCCCGAGGAAAAGAAAUCAACCGAGAUUCCCCCAGUAGCGGCGAGCGAACGGGGAGCAGCCCGGAGUCUGAAUCAGCUUGUGUGUUAGUGGAAGCGUCUGGAAAGUCGCAGGGUACAGGGUGAUACUCCCGUACACUAAAACACACAGGCUGUGAACUCGAAGAGUAGGGCGGGACACGUGGUAUCCUGUCUGAAUAUGGGGGGACCAUCCUCCAAGGCUAAAUACUCCUGACUGACCGAUAGUGAACCAGUACCGUGAGGGAAAGGCGAAAAGAACCCCGGCGAGGGGAGUGAAAAAGAACCUGAAACCGUGUACGUACAAGCAGUAGGAGCCCCACCACCAAAGCGUUUCGCUUUGCGUGGUGCGCAAAAUGCGUAACGACAGCAUGAUGGACGGUUAACGGAGCGUCAGCGACGUUCAACCUCAAAAAUCAGGCAGUGGAGCGUUUUGGGGUGGGGUGACUGCGUACCUUUUGUAUAAUGGGUCAGCGACUUAUAUUCUGUAGCAAGGUUAACCGAAUAGGGGAGCCGCAGGGAAACCGAGUCUUAACUGGGCGUUAAGUUGCAGGGUAUAGACCCGAAACCCGGUGAUCUAGCCAUGGGCAGGUUGAAGGUUGGGUAACACUAACUGGAGGACCGAACCGACUAAUGUUGAAAAAUUAGCGGAUGACUUGUGGCUGGGGGUGAAAGGCCAAUCAAACCGGGAGAUAGCUGGUUCUCCCCGAAAGCUAUUUAGGUAGCGCCUCGUGAACUCAUCUUCGGGGGUAGAGCACUGUUUCGGCUAGGGGGUCAUCCCGACUUACCAACCCGAUGCAAACUACGAAUACCGAAGAAUGUUAUCACGGGAGACACACGGCGGGUGCUAACGUCCGUCGUGAAGAGGGAAACAACCCAGACCGCCAGCUAAGGUCCCAAAGUCAUGGUUAAGUGGGAAACGAUGUGGGAAGGCCCAGACAGCCAGGAUGUUGGCUUAGAAGCAGCCAUCAUUUAAAGAAAGCGUAAUAGCUCACUGGUCGAGUCGGCCUGCGCGGAAGAUGUAACGGGGCUAAACCAUGCACCGAAGCUGCGGCAGCGACACUAUGUGUUGUUGGGUAGGGGAGCGUUCUGUAAGCCGUUGAAGGUGGCCUGUGAGGGUUGCUGGAGGUAUCAGAAGUGCGAAUGCUGACAUAAGUAACGAUAAUGCGGGUGAAAAACCCGCACGCCGGAAGACCAAGGGUUCCUGUCCAACGUUAAUCGGGGCAGGGUGAGUCGACCCCUAAGGCGAGGCCGAAAGGCGUAGUCGAUGGGAAACAGGUUAAUAUUCCUGUACUUGGUGUUACUGCGAAGGGGGGACGGAGAAGGCUAUGUUGGCCGGGCGACGGUUGUCCCGGUUUAAGCAUGUAGGCGGAUGUUCCAGGUAAAUCCGGAACGUUACUAACGCUGAGGUGUGAUGACGAGGCACUACGGUGCUGAAGUGACAAAUGCCCUGCUUCCAGGAAAAGCCUCUAAGCAUCAGGUAACAUCAAAUCGUACCCCAAACCGACACAGGUGGUCAGGUAGAGAAUACCAAGGCGCUUGAGAGAACUCGGGUGAAGGAACUAGGCAAAAUGGUGCCGUAACUUCGGGAGAAGGCACGCUGAUGGUAAGUGAAGUGACUUGCUCAUGGAGCUGAAAUCAGUCGAAGAUACCAGCUGGCUGCAACUGUUUAUUAAAAACACAGCACUGUGCAAACACGAAAGUGGACGUAUACGGUGUGACGCCUGCCCGGUGCCGGAAGGUUAAUUGAUGGGGUUAUCCUCGCGGAGAAGCUCUUGAUCGAAGCCCCGGUAAACGGCGGCCGUAACUAUAACGGUCCUAAGGUAGCGAAAUUCCUUGUCGGGUAAGUUCCGACCUGCACGAAUGGCGUAAUGAUGGCCAGGCUGUCUCCACCCGAGACUCAGUGAAAUUGAACUCGCUGUGAAGAUGCAGUGUACCCGCGGCAAGACGGAAAGACCCCGUGAACCUUUACUAUAGCUUGACACUGAACACUGGUCCUUGAUGUGUAGGAUAGGUGGGAGGCUUUGAAGUGUGGACGCCAGUCUGCAUGGAGCCAUCCUUGAAAUACCACCCUUUAAUGGCUGGUGUUCUAACGUGGGCCCGUGAUCCGGGUUGCGGACAGUGUCUGGUGGGUAGUUUGACUGGGGCGGUCUCCUCCUAAAGAGUAACGGAGGAGCACGAAGGUCAGCUAAUCCUGGUCGGACAUCAGGAGGUUAGUGCAAUGGCAUAAGCUGGCUUGACUGCGAGCGUGACGGCGCGAGCAGGUGCGAAAGCAGGUCAUAGUGAUCCGGUGGUUCUGAAUGGAAGGGCCAUCGCUCAACGGAUAAAAGGUACUCCGGGGAUAACAGGCUGAUACCGCCCAAGAGUUCAUAUCGACGGCGGUGUUUGGCACCUCGAUGUCGGCUCAUCACAUCCUGGGGCUGAAGUAGGUCCCAAGGGUAUGGCUGUUCGCCAUUUAAAGUGGUACGCGAGCUGGGUUUAGAACGUCGUGAGACAGUUCGGUCCCUAUCUGCCGUGGGCGCUGGAGAAUUGAGGGGGGCUGCUCCUAGUACGAGAGGACCGGAGUGGACGCAUCACUGGUGUUCGGGUUGUCAUGCCAAUGGCAUUGCCCGGUAGCUAAAUGCGGAAGAGAUAAGUGCUGAAAGCAUCUAAGCACGAAACUUGCCCCGAGAUGAGUUCUCCCUGACUCCUUGAGAGUCCUGAAGGAACGUUGAAGACGACGACGUUGAUAGGCCGGGUGUGUAAGCGCAGCGAUGCGUUGAGCUAACCGGUACUAAUGAACCGUGAGGCUUAACCUU
rnacentral:rRNA from 1 species